rnacentral:rRNA from 1 species
AUUGAACGCUGGCGGAAUGCUUUACACAUGCAAGUCGAGCGGCAGCGCGGGGGCAACCCUGGCGGCGAGCGGCGAACGGGUGAGUAACACAUCGGAACGUACCCACUUGUGGGGGAUAACGAAUCGAAAGAUUCGCUAAUACCGCAUAAGACCUGAGGGUGAAAGCGGGGGACCGAAAGGCCUCGCGCGAGUGGAGCGGCCGAUGUCGGAUUAGCUAGUUGGUGAGGUAAAGGCUCACCAAGGCGACGAUCCGUAGCGGGUCUGAGAGGACGACCAGCCACACGGGAACUGAGACAAGGUCCAGACUCCUACGGAAGGCAGCAGUGGGGAAUUUUGGACAAUGGGGCAACCCUGAUCCAGCCAUUCCGCGUGAGUGAAGAAGGCCUUCGGGUUGUAAAGCUCCUUCGGCAGGAACGAAACGGUCCUAGUUAAUACCUGGGGCUAAUGACGGUACCUGAAGAAGAAGCACCGGCUAACUAUGUGCCAGCAGCCGCCGUAA